UAAAAGCUAGUUAAAAUAAAUAUAACAUAAUUUUGUCAAAAUUAAAUUAGUAAAUAAAUACUGUUUUUAA
rnacentral:tRNA from 1 species